rnacentral:rRNA from 1 species
GAACUGGAGAGUUUGAUCCUGGCUCAGAUUGAACGCUGGCGGUAGGCCUAACACAUGCAAGUCGAACGGUAACGGACCGCUGGGAUUCCUUCGGGAUGACCUUGGUGCCGACGAGUGGCGGACGGGUGAGUAACACGUAGGAAUCUGCCAAACAGUGGGGGACAACCCGGAGAAAUCCGGGCUAAUACCGCAUACGCCCUACGGGGGAAAGCGGGGGACCUUCGGGCCUCGCGCUGUUUGAGGAGCCUGCGUCGGAUUAGCUUGUUGGUGAGGUAAAGGCUCACCAAGGCGACGAUCCGUAGCUGGUCUGAGAGGAUGAUCAGCCACACUGGGACUGAGACACGGCCCAGACUCCUACGGGAGGCAGCAGUGGGGAAUAUUGCACAAUGGGCGAAAGCCUGAUGCAGCCAUACCGCGU